CGCCUUGCCAGCCCGCUCAGAAACUUAAAUGAAUUGACGGGGCCCGCACAAGCGGUGGAGCAUGUGGUUUAAUUCGAUGAUACGCGAGGAACCUUACCUGGGCUCAAAUGUAUGUUGACGUAUUCUGAAAGGGAUACUUCUUCGGACAAUAUACAAGGUGCUGCAUGGUUGUCGUCAGCUCGUGCCGUGAGGUGUCGGGUUAAGUCCCAUAACGAGCGCAACCCCUAUCAUUAGUUGCCAUCAGGUCAAGCUGGGGACUCUAAUGAAACUGCCUACGCAAGUAGUGAGGAAGGUGGGGAUGACGUCAAAUCAGCACGGCCCUUACGUCCAGGGCUACACACGUGCUACAAUGGCCGGUACAAAGGGCAGCUACCUGGUGACAGGAUGCUAAUCUCAAAAGCCGGUCUCAGUUCGGACCGGAGUCUGCAACCCGACUCCGUGAAGUCGGAAUCGCUAGUAAUCGUGAAUCAGAAUGUCACGGUGAAUACGUUCCCGGGCCUU
rnacentral:rRNA from 1 species